UAGGGAAUCUUCGGCAAUGGACGAAAGUCUGACCGAGCAACGCCGCGUGAGUGAAGAAGGUUUUCGGAUCGUAAAACUCUGUUGUUAGAGAAGAACAAGGACGUUAGUAACUGAACGUCCCCUGACGGUAUCUAACCAGAAAGCCACGGCUAACUACGUGCCAGCAGCCGCGGUAAUACGUAGGUGGCAAGCGUUGUCCGGAUUUAUUGGGCGUAAUGCGAGCGCAGGCGGUUUCUUAAGUCUGAUGUGAAAGCCCCCGGCUCAACCGGGGAGGGUCAUUGGAAACUGGGAGACUUGAGUGCAGAAGAGGAGAGUGGAAUUCCAUGUGUGGCGGUGAAAUGCGUAGAUAUAUGGGGGAACACCAGUGGCGAAGGCGGCUCUCUGGUCUGUCACUGACGCUGAGGCUCGAAAGCGUGGGGAGCAAACAGG
rnacentral:rRNA from 1 species